AACGAACGCUGGCGGCAUGCCUAACACAUGCAAGUCGAACGAGACCUUCGGGUCUAGUGGCGCACGGGUGCGGAACGCGUGGGAACCUGCCCUUAGGUUCGGAAUAACUCAGAGAAAUUUGAGCUAAUACCGGAUAAUGUCUUCGGACCAAAGAUUUAUCGCCUUUGGAUGGGCCCGCGUAGGAUUAGCUUGUUGGUGGGGUAAUGGCCUACCAAGGCGACGAUCCUUAGCUGGUCUGAGAGGAUGAUCAGCCACACUGGGACUGAGACACGGCCCAGACUCCUACGGGAGGCAGCAGUGGGGAAUAUUGGACAAUGGGCGAAAGCCUGAUCCAGCAAUGCCGCGUGAGUGAUGAAGGCCUUAGGGUUGUAAAGCUCUUUUACCAGGGAUGAUAAUGACAGUACCUGGAGAAUAAGCUCCGGCUAACUCCGUG
rnacentral:rRNA from 1 species